AACAUAACUUUACUCUUGACUUCCUGCUCUAUCCCGUACCUGCAAACCUGGGGGAUUAAGGGAAAGGGGGUGAGCUACUAGAGCCCAGUGAGCAGAAUAAUAAAACAUUAUAUUUAAAGUUCAUGCUUUCAUGAAAUGCAUCACAUCACAAACAAAUCACAUUAAGGAUGAACUUGUCACCAAUAGUCCUCUACAUAUCCAAUAGUGCCA
rnacentral:lncRNA from 1 species